UACGAAGGGGGCUAGCGUUGCUCGGAAUCACUGGGCGUAAAGAGCUCGUAGGCGGUUUGUUGCGUCGGCUGUGAAAACCCGAGGCUCAACCUCGGGCCUGCAGUGGGUACGGGCAGACUAGAGUGCGGUAGGGGAGAUUGGAAUUCCUGGUGUAGCGGUGGAAUGCGCAGAUAUCAGGAGGAACACCAAUGGCGAAGGCAGAUCUCUGGGCCGUAACUGACGCUGAGGAGCGAAAGCAUGGGGAGCGAACAGG
rnacentral:rRNA from 1 species